rnacentral:lncRNA from 1 species
UUCUUGCUCAAAAUUCGCCCCAAGCCGUGUUCUUUCACCCAAAAAAGGUAAAAAAUGAUCAGAAAACACAGCAGCUUUGUUAAGCCUAUUCUGGUCGCUAUAAGCCAAAACUGGUCGCUAAAAAUGUCAAAUCUUGUCGCUAAAAGGUGCACACCAGAUCUGAUGUACUAGCAAUCUUUAUUUUCACUAAGAAGACUCUAACUCCAUCAUACAAACUCAGAAUUCAGUGAUUCUUGUUCCUAUGAGUCACAAAUAAUGAUACGAACAUAUUCCUUCAAUCGAAACUCAAUUUGGAGCUCGUUUGCUCAGUGCGAUAACGAUUUCGCUCGUUAAACAAUUAACUCAUGAUUCACGUCAAAAACUCAAUUGCGACUUGAUGAAAUUAGACCAAACUUUCCAGAUCACUCCUAUAAUUCAUUAUCAAAAUUCUAGAAGUCUCAAAAUCAAAUUUCGAUCUCUAAAACUAAAAAUGGACAUUUGGAUCAUUCCAUGCUUAUAAUCAAAACGCCAAAAAUCUUUCAAAAACUCUUCCAAAACAUAUCUGAGCCUCAUGGGACCCCGACCAAACAUGCCAACAUACCCCAUAACAUAAUUAAAACUUGUUUCAAUCUUCGGAACACUCAAAACAACAUCAAAACAUCAAAUCACCUUUUGAUUCAAGCCUAAGAAUUCAAAAACAUCUGAAAUCCGAAUUUGAUCAAAAAGUCGACCAAACGACGUCCAAAUGACAUGAAAUUUUGCACAUACAUCACAAAUGACAUAACGAAGCUAUAGUAACUUUUGAAAUGCUAUUCCAGCCCUCGGAUCAAAAUCUCACCUAUCAACUGAAAUUCGCCAAAAUAUUGACUUUGCCAAUUCAAGCCAAAUCCUUCCACGUACUUCCAAAAUGCAUUCCAAUCGCGCUCCUAAGUUAUAAAUCACCCAACGAUGCUAUCCGAAUCAUAAAAUAUCCGAUCCGAUCUUAUAUACAAAUAAGCCAACUCUUAAUCAACCCUUUCAAAUUCAAAGCUUUCAACUGAGACUGUUCCUUAAAAUUCAUUCCGAU